CAGUCGCCGCGGUAAUACGUAGGUGGCAAGCGUUGUCCGGAUUUAUUGGGCGUAAAGCGAGCGCAGGCGGUUAGAUAAGUCUGAAGUUAAAGGCUGUGGCUUAACCAUAGUACGCUUUGGAAACUGUUUAACUUGAGUGCAAGAGGGGAGAGUGGAAUUCCAUGUGUAGCGGUGAAAUGCGUAGAUAUAUGGAGGAACACCGGUGGCGAAAGCGGCUCUCUGGCUUGUAACUGACGCUGAGGCUCGAAAGCGUGGGGAGCAAACAGGAUUAGAUACCCCGGUAGUCCCUGUCUCUUAUACA
rnacentral:rRNA from 1 species